rnacentral:rRNA from 1 species
GACGAACGCUGGCGGCGUGCUUAACACAUGCAAGUCGAACGGUAAGGCCCUUCGGGGUACACGAGUGGCGAACGGGUGAGUAACACGUGGGUGAUCUGCCCUGCACUUCGGGAUAAGCUUGGGAAACUGGGUCUAAUACCGGAUAUGAUCACGCUCUUCAUGGGGUGUGGUGGAAAGCUUUUGCGGUGUGGGAUGGGCCCGCGGCCUAUCAGCUUGUUGGUGGGGUAAUGGCCUACCAAGGCGACGACGGGUAGCCGGCCUGAGAGGGUGUCCGGCCACACUGGGACUGAGAUACGGCCCAGACUCCUACGGGAGGCAGCAGUGGGGAAUAUUGCACAAUGGGCGCAAGCCUGAUGCAGCGACGCCGCGUGGGGGGAUGACGGCCUUCGGGUUGGUAAACCUCUUUCAGUAGGGACGAAGGGUGACUGACGGUACCUACAGAAGAAGCCCCGGCUAACUACGUGCCAGCAGCCGCGGU